GAUACUAUCAGUCGCUCUUUCUCUUACAUAGAAGAGAAUUGUACCUGUACGGCAACCAUUGUUGAUUCGUUACCCACCCCAUCGUCCCAAAUAUCAGAUUCAAGAACACCACUCAAACACCCUCGCGACGAACCCCUGCACCUCCCCUCCCCUUCCCCUUCCCCUUCACCGAAUUAUGAGCGACAUGGAGAAUGUCAAUGCCAAAGAGCGGCCCCCCCAAAAUGAAGUCAAAAUGAUGGCCGAGCUGAACCAUGUCAAUCCCAGAGAGCGGCCCCGUCAACUACACCAAAGACCCUCAGGCACCACCGGCCGGUCGGUUAGCCCUGGAGCCCGCCGCUGCACAACAAACGGCUCUGUGUCAAGCCGCUCCCCGCCCCACCCACCCAAAUCCUCCAGCUGCUUCUGCCUCUAGCUGCGGUUCAAGGGAUCUAUAAUGGCGGCUCUCGGUCAACAACUUGGUAGCUCGCUGAAGGAUCCUUGCCGGAUUUGAUAUUAUUGUAUGG
rnacentral:lncRNA from 1 species